CUACGGGUCGCAGCAGUGAGGAAUAUUGCACAAUGGAGGAAACUCUGAUGCAGCAACGCCGCGUGGAGGAUGACGCAUUUCGGUGUGUAAACUCCUUUUAUAUGUCAAGAAAAUGACGGUAGCAUAUGAAUAAGCUCCGGCUAACUCCGUGCCAGCAGCCGCGGUAAUACGGAGGGAGCAAGCGUUACUCGGAAUCACUGGGCGUAAAGGACGCGUAGGCGGGAUAGAAAGUCAGGUGUGAAAUCCUAUGGCUCAACCAUAGAACUGCACUUGAAACUUCUAACCUAGAGUAUGGGAGGGGAAGAUGGAAUUAGUGGUGUAGGGGUAAAAUCCGUAGAUAUCACUAGGAAUACCAAAAGCGAAGGCGAUCUUCUGGAACAAUACUGACGCUAAGGCGUGAAAGCGUGGGGAGCAAACAGGAUUAGAUACCCUAGUAGUC
rnacentral:rRNA from 1 species